AACGGCCGUACCGUGCUGAAUAUACCGGUUCUCGUUAGAUCACCGAAGUCAAGCAUCAUUGGGCGCGGUCAGUACUUGGGUGGGUGACCACCUGGGAACACCGUGUGCUGUU
rnacentral:rRNA from 1 species